rnacentral:rRNA from 1 species
UGACCGCUGGCGGCGUGCCUACUACAUGCAAGUCGAGCGAACGGACGAGAAGCUUGCUUCUCUGAUGUUAGCGGCGGACGGGUGAGUAACACGUGGAUAACCUACCUAUAAGACUGGGAUAACUUCGGGAAACCGUAGCUAAUACCGGAUAAUAUUUUGAACCGCAUGGUUCAAAAGUGAAAGACGGUCUUGCUGUCACUUAUAGAUGGAUCCGCGCUGCAUUAGCUAGUUGGUAAGGUAACGGCUUACCAAGGCAACGAUGCAUAGCCGACCUGAGAGGGUGAUCGGCCACACUGGAACUGAGACACGGUCCAGACUCCUACGGGAGGCAGCAGUAGGGAAUCUUCCGCAAUGGGCGAAAGCCUGACGGAGCAACGCCGCGUGAGUGAUGAAGGUCUUCGGAUCGUAAAACUCUGUUAUUAGGGAAGAACAUAUGUGUAAGUAACUGUGCACAUCUUGACGGUACCUAAUCAGAAAGCCACGGCUAACUACGUG